UACGUAGGGGGCGAGCGUUGCCCGGAUUUACUGGGCGUAAAGCGCGCGUAGGCGGUCUCAUAAGUCUGGUGUGAAAUCUCACGGCUCAACCGGGAGGCUGCACUGGAUACUGUGAGACUGGAGGGUAGGAGAGGAGAUCGGAAUUCCUGGUGUAGCGGUGGAAUGCGUUGAUAUCAGGAGGAACACCAAUGGCGAAGGCAGAUCUCUGGCCUAUCUCUGACGCUGAGGUGCGAAAGCCACGGGAGCGACAGGG
rnacentral:rRNA from 1 species